UUCAGUAAAUGCAGGAAUUAACACUUGUUUGACAUGGGCCAUGUACAAAAUUGUAAUUCCAACAGUGGACAUUGGCGCGUAUGUACAGUCUUUCAUCAAUGACGUCAGCACCGAGCGGGAAAUACCUGGAUAUUCUACAAAGAUGGCGGC